UAAAUUUUGUGGGUUUAGAGCCCACCAAUCUAGUAAGGGCUUAGCUUAAUUAAAGUGUUUGAUUUGCAAUCAUUUGAUGGAAGAUACAUUCUUGCAGUACUUAGGGUUGGGUGUGCAGGAGUUAAAUAGAUGUGAUUUACUUAGGACUUUGAAGGCUCUUGGUCUGUUGUAACCUAAACUCCUAGUCCAAGAUGAAUAAUAUUGGUGUGAGUAGAAGUAAUAUGGUUGAAGUUAUGAAAGGGAGCAAGAGAAUUAUUUUUUUUUUGUAUCUUCAAAUUGUCAUUUUAUUUUUAUGCUGUUUGUUGAAGAAAAUAUAGUU